AGUGAACGCUGGCGGCGUGCCUAAUACAUGCAAGUCGAACGGAGUGGCGCACGGGUGAGUAAUGUAUGUCUAGUCUGCCCUACACUAGAGGACAACAGUUGGAAACACCUGCUAAUACUCUCUCGUGUAGGAUGAGGCUAUAUUGUAUCAGCUAGUUGGUGAGGUAAUGGCUCACCAAGGCUAUGACGCAUAACUGGUCUGAGAGGAUGAUCAGUCACACUGGAACUGAGACACGGUCCAGACUCCUACGGCAGGAAGCAGUAGUGAAAAUUGCUCAGUGGGGGAAACCCUGAAGCAGCAACGCAGCGUGGAGGAUGACACUUUUAGGAGCGUAAACUCCUUUUGUUAGGGAAGCGGUACCUAACGAAUAAGCACCGGCUAACUCCGUGCCAGCAGCCGCGGUAAUUC
rnacentral:rRNA from 1 species